CAGGCAGCUGAAGCGGAAGCCCCUCGUUGCACAGAAGUGGAGACUGAGGCCCGGGUCUUCGGAGACGGCCAGCGAUCUGUCCCAGAGCGCUUUUGAGCCAGGGAUCUUGGGGGUGCGGGCUUCUCUGCAGUUCCUCCUGAGCAUCUUCUAAGUAGAGCACACGUUCCCUAAGAUGGAGGGGCCACGCCCAAGCCUGGAAAACAGACAAGGCUUAACCUGCCUGAGUGGCAGCUUCCUCAUCCGUAAGGCAGAAUUGAAACAAUUCAUGGUCCCCUAAAGGACUGUGGCCUCAGGCACUGUGUCGCUGUAUCUGAGGAAGGGGAGCUGUCCUGGCAGCCUCAUCCCAUUGGAAGCUGACUUGAACCCAGGUCUUGAAUCCAGGUCUUCUGCACCCCCAACCUCUUCUGCCCACUGCCUGCCACUUGGGGAAGGACCUGGUGGAUUUUUGCUGCUUUUUGGCAUUUCUUACUAGCCAUCCGAUGGCUUUGAAUGUCUUGUUUCUGAGUGCUUAUAACAACAAUGAUAAUUAAUAAUAAUAAUAGGGUGGGAUGAAUUGGGAGAUGGGGAUUGACAUAUAUACACUACUAUAUAUAUAUAACAUAGAUAACUAAUGAGAACCUACUGUAUAGCGCACAGAACUCUACUCAAUGCUCUCUGGUGACCUAAAUGGUAAGGAAAUCCAAAAAAGACUGGAUAUAUGUAUAUGUA